rfam:Dipodomys ordii contig_43915, whole genome shotgun sequence.
GGAGUGUGGCUCAAAUGGUAGAGCACUUGCCUAGUAAGCAGGAGGCCCUAAGUUCAAACCUCAGUAUCACCA